UGUUAUUAAACUUUCAUUAUUUUAUAAAACAUUUUAGGGCAUUAAACGCGUUUACCAGAGAGCAUGCCCCUCGUAUUCAAAAACCACCCUCCCGAUUUCUGUAAAAGAUAGACAGGAACAUGGGCAGGAUGUUUAUACAGCAAAAUGUAAACAUUUUCCCUGGCCUUCUUUAAAUAAAAAAUCAAGCAAAAGCCCCGUUAGAUCAGCUAAUACUCAAUCUGAUGCGAUAUGCCCGUGUGUUCGCAGCGUCUUGUGUAGAUACAGGACGUUUUUACACAUGAAUAUUGUUUGUGUAAUGUAGUCAUAAUAUUUACGCAGGGGACGCAGGAGGAGUGGAGCACCGAACUGCCCGGACUGUGAGCGCAGAGACUCGGACUGGGACUUGAGAUCGACUCCUGCAGGCGGUUUACCAUCCGAAUGAUCCAGGAAUUAUACAGCUGGAGUGGGCAGGCGUGCGGCUUUGGCCACAGGAAGCCGUGAAUUCUUCGGAGAAUGGAAGAUGUCUUAUGGGGAGACAUACUGGCCCCCCACCCACCCACUCACCACCUCAAAAUGACCCCUGACCCCUUCAUGUGUUUAUAUCAGACCAUGGAAGUGAGAAAUAGUGAUGAGUCAUUCUGGCUGUGUGUUUACACUCCGGAGUCACGCAAGGAAGGAAAUCAGCCACGGUCUGCUAAAAGUGGCGAGGUGAGAGAGAAUAGCUGCAGUCCCCGGAGCGCUGCAGUGAUUUACCUCUCAGGACCAGAAUUUAUUUCACAUCAUCUCUGCUGCGGUGACUUUUGACCAACAGAAAACAGCAGCGGCAUUAGCACGGCUGUGGACUGUUGUCGAGGAAAAGGCAACUCUGAUUGCAGCAAAAUAAGUGGCAGUUACUGAGGAUAUAUGUGCUUAUACAGUAUGUGCAUGUAGCUAGUAAAAUCUACCCAGAUAGAAUAGGCAGAAUAAUUCAUAAUGUAACAUAUCAUAAUAAAUAUGUUGACUGAAUUUUAGAAAACUCUUGAUAUAUUGAUGGCUUUCUAAUCAAGGCAGGUAAAAAAAAAAGCACAUCACUGUUAGACUGAGAACUUGUAUCUCCACAUGUUCAAUGUUAUUAAAACAAAAAUCGCUUUCAGCCUCUUAACUAUACCUUUUACUGUGGAAUUCAUCUGGCAAUAUUUUCAGAAUGUUUCUUCUACCACAAAGAGAGUGUCUAAUUGCUUAAUUUAAAUUAAAAAUGAAAAUUACUAAGAUAAUAAGUUACAAGGUUAUCACCCAACAGCAAUAGUAACACUGUAUAACUUGCUUUUUUUCAGUUAAUCUAGGGGGAAAAAAAAUGCUAACAGUAAAGCCAUAUUCUGCACUAAUGGAAUAUAGUGUUCUGCAAAAAUAUUUAGUUUUAGAUUUUUUUAUUGUCAGUAAUGUACUAUAUUGAUAUCACAUUUAAAAAAUACUUAGAUACUUGAAACUUCAUCCACAGUUAAAAUUCCCAGUUGUGAUCUCGUUGUCUGACAUUGUGUCUAUCACAGCAUAUCCCAAGCUGGACUAUGGUUAGGGAAAUGUUUAUAUAACAAUCAUAAUAGUUUAUGUGUAAUUAUGGUAGUUUGUAUGUAUUUAUAACUUAUAUUAUAAGUGACAAGUGGAUUUUUAUGAAAGCAAGUUAGUCAGGAGUCAGUACCAGUGACUCCACUGAUAUGUGUAUUUAUGAAAACGAUUUCAUAAGAAACCCAUUAAAGUUUAUAGAGAUCCCAAAAUCACUGUAAAAUAAUUUUAAAGGCUUGGGCUACAAGUUAGAAGUUGAGCUGAGAUCAUAUUACAGAGGUGCACAUUUCCCUUAAACUGUUUUGACAUUAUAUUUUCAGCAUCUUCAUCUUACCCAUCAUGCAACAGACUGUGCAUCCGUUUGUGCUGAUGAUAAGUGAUAUGCCAUACAAGUUACUGUCCACUUUAUAGCCUCAAAAAUACAAUAUUAUAAAGAGAAUUUUGCUCACUGUGUUAUAAAAUGUGUUUACGAUAUAUGUGAGUGACAGCGUCAUUGCUGCAUGAACCACACUGGACACGUAUUAUGUUGUGCUCUGCAGGACUUUAUGUUCUAUGUACUGUAAGGUGUGUUUACUGUGGCUUUGACCAGUGUUUCAAACACAGUGUCACUGCUGCCCUCCGCACCGAGCAACUUUAGAUUUCAGAUUGCACAACUGUUGUUUUGGAGAGACAGCUGUAGUUAACUGCAGUUAUGCUCUGUAAAUAAAAGUGACACUUUAUUUCUUUCCGUCAUUACAUGGGUGCAAGUAACUUCAUUGCCGACUGUAGCGAGUAUCCUGUUACACACCAACAUACACACCACCACAAUGAGAGAGUCAGCAGCUCUUAUUUUGGCUGAUCUCUCCUGAAUUGUAACUCCUGUCAGGGGCUUUGAUUGAUAGUUGUGUUUAUCACCAUAUUAUUAAGUAAUCAGUCUCACCACAGCUGGGCCUGAAGCUCCUUAAUUCCAGCUAAAGCACACAGCUUCAUGCUAAUUAAAGGUUUGGUGAAGGAGUUUAUUUUUGUGAAUUUUUAAAAUAUAGUUGUCUGUGUUUUUAUGAGAAUGCGCUGAUUGUUGCAUUUGUAUUCUCUCAGGAACAUUUAGUAGCAACCUUUAGAGCUGUACCUUCAUCAGAAAGAUCAUGGACAGUGGAGGGAAAAUCAUGCUGCCCAGACUGAAUGUAGAAUGUAAAAAUCUCUCCUUUCAGUAAUGUACAUUACUGUAAAGUCUGUAAAAUGACAGAUAACUUACAUACAAUACAGUAUAUAACACAAGCAGGUCAAUCAGUCUAUGUUGUGUGUAUCAGCAGAGAUUUCUUCUCGCUUCGUUAAUAGAGCCCGCGGCUUUGCUGCGUUUGUGUAUUACUGAGGUAAACACAGUCAUGGCAAAGUGGACAUGCUGCUGAGUGUGUCCUGACUGGAGACAGAGAGCACUGUGGCACUGUACUGACUGAGACACUGGCAGCUCUCUAGAGGUAGGGUUAAUGUGAUGAAUGGCCAUUUGGUAAUGGGCCAUGUAUUAGGGUGAAAUAGCUUUUUUAAAAGCCCGAGCUCGAGCUGUUGCUACGGGCAAUUUGAUUCAGGAAUCAGUCAGGUGGCAGAUGUUUCAUGUUAGAUCAGUCAACUUUGUCUUGCUCUCUCUUUCAACUAAAUGAAGGAAAAAAUGAUUGCAAAACUGCGCAUAGCAAUCAAAUGAAAAUAUAACUUCAUGCAGUCAAAAAUAUCAGUGAUGCCUUUUUGUUUAAAAGUCUUUAAAAAUAUUCGGCCAAUUUUAGGAACUGUGUAAAUAAAUUGAUUGAUUCUUAAACAAGGUGAAAAAUGUAAUCAUAUUUUUUUCUUCACUUUGAACAGCAUAGGUUCUCUCCUAUCCCAGACUGCUUUGUGUUCAAGCCGCCUCACUGCCAGGAUGGUCCUCAAGCUAUUAGUGGAUAACCUGCAGUGCUAAUUAUUAUUUUUGCACACAAGCUAGAUUUGCAGAUUUAUGAAUUUCUACCCACAAAGUGAAACACAUAAUGUGGAAAGUACACUGUUCUUCGAAAAAUAUUUAUAUAUUGCUAAAGAGGUUGAGAUGUGUUCAUGUAAUUAAAAGGGUGUUUUGUGUAAUGAUUAUAUACAAGCCUUCCAUUAUUAUAUGUUGCAUAUUGUACUAAUUCAUUUUCACCUUGUUCAUAAUGUAUUGCCCAUUGUCUCUGUGUUACUAAGUUCUGCUGCUAUUUUGGACAAAUGAUAGUUUAGGAUUUAAUAUUUGUUGUAACACAUUUUCAUCAGUGAAGUUCCACUUUAGGUGGAACUGUUGUUGGUGCAUUUAGCCACAUUUCUUCAUCCUGACCUGUUUUAAUUUGACUAACAGAACAAUAUAGGCUAAGAGUGUGUGUGGCACAGUGAAUAAAAAGUUUCUUUUUUUGAUGUCA